rnacentral:rRNA from 1 species
GACGAACGCUGGCGGCGUGCUUAACACAUGCAAGUCGAACGGACAGGCCCUGCUUUUGUGGGGUGCUCGAGUGGCGAACGGGUGAGUAACACGUGAGUAACCUGCCCUUGACUUUGGGAUAACUUCAGGAAACUGGGGCUCAUACCGGAUAGGAGCUCCUGCUGCAUGUUGGGGGUUGGAAAGUUUCGGCGGUUGGGGAUGGACUCGCGGCUUAUCAGCUUGUUGGUGGGGUAGUGGCUUACCAAGGCUUUGACGGGUAGCCGGCCUGAGAGGGUGACCGGCCACAUUGGGACUGAGAUACGGCCCAGACUCCUACGGGAGGCAGCAGUGGGGAAUAUUGCACAAUGGGCGGAAGCCUGAUGCAGCAACGCCGCGUGCGGGAUGACGGCCUUCGGGUUGUAAACCGCUUUCGCCUGUGACGAAGCGUGAGUGACGGUAAUGGGUAAAGAAGCACCGGCUAACUACGUG